rnacentral:rRNA from 1 species
GACGAACGCUGGCGGCGUGCUUAACACAUGCAAGUCGAACGGGAAGGCCCUGCUUUUGUGGGGUGCUCGAGUGGCGAACGGGUGAGUAACACGUGAGUAACCUGCCCUUGACUGUGGGAUAACUUCAUGAAACUGGGGCUAAUACCGGAUAGGAGCUCCUGCUGCAUGGUGGGGGUUGGAAAGUUUCGGCGGUUGGGGAUGGACUCGCGGCUUAUCAGCUUGUUGGUGGGGUAGUGGCUUACCAAGGCUUUGACGGGUAGCCGGCCUGAGAGGGUGACCGGCCACAUUGGGACUGAGAUACGGCCCAGACUCCUACGGGAGGCAGCAGUGGGGAAUAUUGCACAAUGGGCGGAAGCCUGAUGCAGAAACGCCGCGUGCGGGAUGACGGCCUUCGGGUUGUAAACCGCUUUCGCCUGUGACGAAGCGUGAGUGACGGUAAUGGGUAAAGAAGCACCGGCUAACUACGUG